GCUGUUAUGGCUCAGUGGUUGAGCAUUGACCUAUGGACCAGGAGGUCCUGGUUUGAUUCCAGGUCAGGGCA
rfam:Myotis davidii contig157645, whole genome shotgun sequence.